GUCUUCGUGGCGCAGUUGGUUAGCGCGUCAGUCUCAUAUCGCAUGAUAUGAUCCAAUCAUCAGGUUGGGCCAUCUGAAGGCCGUGAGUUCGAGCCUCACCGAGGACA
rnacentral:tRNA from 1 species